UGAUGAAGGUCCCUUAGGGUUGUAAAGCUCUUUUGUGCGGGAAGAUAAUGACGGUACCGCAAGAAUAAGCCCCGGCUAACUUCGUGC
rnacentral:rRNA from 1 species